CCUACGGGUGGCUGCAGUGGGGAAUCUUCCGCAAUGGGCGAAAGCCUGACGGAGCAACGCCGCGUGAUCGAAUGAAGGCCUGCGGGUUGUAAAGAUCUGUUGACAGGGACGAAGAAGCCAUGCGAAUAGGUUGGUGUAUGACGGUACCUGUUGAGAAAGCGCCGGCUAACUACGGGCCAGCAGCCGCGGUGAUACGUAGGGAGCAAGCGUUGGCCGGAAUUACUGGGCGUAAAGGGCGCGUAGGUGGGUGCUUAAGUCAGGGGGGACAACUCUGGGCUCAACCUGGCGACUGCACUUGAAACUGGGUAUCUUGAGUGCAGGAGAGGCAAGUGGAAUUCCUAGUGUAGCGGU
rnacentral:rRNA from 1 species